CAGUCGCCGCGGUAAUACGUAGGGUGCAAGCGUUAAUCGGAAUUACUGGGCGUAAAGCGUGCGCAGGCGGUUAUAUAAGACAGAUGUGAAAUCCCCGGGCUCAACCUGGGAACUGCAUUUGUGACUGUAUAGCUAGAGUACGGCAGAGGGGGAUGGAAUUCCGCGUGUAGCAGUGAAGUGCGUAGAUAUGCGGAGGAACACCGAUGGCGAAGGCAAUCCCCUGGGCCUGUACUGACGCUCAUGCACGAAAGCGUGGGGAGCAAACAGGAUUAGAUACCCCCGUAGUCCCUGUCUCUUAUAC
rnacentral:rRNA from 1 species